CGCCGGGGGGCGGGCGGAGGCGGCAGCGCGGCACGGCCACCGCCGGGCGCCUCGCCCUCCGCGCGCUUGGACUCGGCCCGGGAAAGUUCCCGCAGGACGGGGCGCGGGCUGCGCGCACGUGGGCGCCGCUGCAGGGACGCCCCGCGGGCGUCGGCGCCCAGGUGCCGCACCUGCCUGCCCGGGGCGCGCCCGCCGACGCGCGUCUCCGCCCUUGCCAGCCGCCGGAGCCCGGGCGUCCGGAAACCGCUUCCUUCUGUCCCGCCCCAGGACGCAGGCCGUCUUGCCACCCAAAACUUUUCUUUCUGGAAGGAAGGAAGUUGCAUUCAAGUGCUGUCACCUUAAGAUUACUUCAUCAGUGAGUAUAACAAAUAACUGGAUUCACUUCUUCUGGAUUCUCACUAUUGAUAUGCCUCUGGAAUUUCUGCGUGUUUUGGACAAAUCAAUGUUUCAGGUGGCGUUUGUCCAAAGUUGUCUGAAAAUAAAUACAGCAAUACGAGUUGGAUUUUCAUUCACUUCUUUUCAUUCGGAAAGAGCCUUGCCGCAUGUCCCCACGGUGGAUCCUCGUAACGUUCCCUCCAGACGAAGGCUGAGUCAUACGUGGAAGAAACACAAGGUGGAAGGAGGCUGAGUCCCUGAGUCACCGACCCACUAGAAACAUCCACAUGGGACUGUUAGGGCUGUGAUCUGUGCCAGCAGACCUGUUGACAGCCGUCUGAGACAUAUCAAGACCCCCUGGGUACACCUAGGUCAGAAUCCGUCCUUGCCUGCCACUGACUGUGGGACUUUGGGCGAUUAUUUAACCUUUCUGAGAUAUUAUUUCACCAUGAAAUGGAGAGAAUCAUAAGACUUACUUCAAUGAACUGCUGGUAAAUUUAAUGAGAUAAAACAUACGAAGCCCUCGGGUGAUGUGAACGCCUAGAAAAACAGAAGUAACUGCGAGCACUAUUGCAGGCUGAGUUCUGUGGUUUCAGGGGCAUCAGAUACAUGCUCUUAAUUUUUUUUUAAGUCAGAUCCACAUGGCACACCCACUUGCUCUCUGUGGGAUGUCCCCGUGCGAAGGAAGCCUGCACAGUCUUGUCCGACUGUGCCAGCCUCCCCAGAGGACUGGGCCGGGCUACGGAGGGUAGAGCACACCUACUAGGGAAUCUGUUUGUCUUGAGAACACUCCAGUUUGUAAGGAUGGUUUGAUCUCAUCUCAACACAUCAAUCGGCUGCAUAGGGUGGGGAAAGGGGGGAAGGGAAGCAUCACCUUUGUAAACUCCUGAUUUUAUUUUCUCCAUUCUUUUUGAGAGCUUCUUCAGGCAGAAAAACACCUCUUGCUCUUCUGGAUUCUGAGGUAGGAAUAGCAGAACGGCCCUCAGUGAGCUGCUUUGCACCAGGCUCUGCACACUGAGCCCUGGCCAGCCUGUGGGAUGGGGACUAUUUUAUCGCUCACCAGUUACUUAGAAGGAAACUUCACUCACACAUGCCCACAUACCUUGCCCAGGGUCACACGCUGGCGCGUCAGUGUCUGGUUUCAAUGCCGGUGGGUCUACUUUGGAGCCCAACUCUGAACUCCGCUGCUCUGCUACAGGGCUGUACAGUAGGAAGAUUUUGUGAGUCACAUAUGCAAUUUUAAAUUUUCUUGUAGUCUCAUUUUAAAAAGGAGAAAGAAACUCUGCAUUGAAUUUUAACCAUAUAUUUUAUCUAACCAAUUAUGUCUAAAAUGUUAGCAUUUCAAUAUGCAAUCAAUAUAAAAGCUUGAAUGAGAUAUUUUAUAUACUUUAUUUCAUACUUCGUCUUUGAAGUCGGUGUGUGUUCAACUUUCUGCCUGUCUCAGUUAGGAGCAGUGUCCUCUCCAGUGCUCCAUAGCCACAGGUGGCUGUGGCCUCCACGCUGGUGAGCGGCUCUCUGCCACACGCUCAGCAGAAGUUACUGGACUUUCUGUUUAUGGCUCCCUGUUGACAUAAUCUUUAUUAUUUUUGUUUUGGCCAUCUUCAAACCUGU
ensembl:lncRNA